rnacentral:rRNA from 1 species
UACGGAGGGUGCAAGCGUUAUCCGGAUUUACUGGGUUUAAAGGGUGCGUAGGUGGGUCUGUAAGUCAGUGGUGAAAUCUCCGAGCUUAACUCGGAAACUGCCAUUGAUACUAUAGGUCUUGAAUUAUCUGGAGGUAAGCGGAAUAUGUCAUGUAGCGGUGAAAUGCUUAGAUGUGACAUAGAACACCAAUUGCGAAGGCAGCUUACUACGGAUUGAUUGACACUGAGGCACGAAAGCGUGGGGAUCAAACAGG